rnacentral:rRNA from 1 species
CUGAACCGCAUGGUUCAGACAUAAAAGGUGGCUUCGGCUACCACUUACAGAUGGACCCGCGGCGCAUUAGCUAGUUGGUGAGGUAACGGCUCACCAAGGCGACGAUGCGUAGCCGACCUGAGAGGGUGAUCGGCCACACUGGGACUGAGACACGGCCCAGACUCCUACGGGAGGCAGCAGUAGGGAAUCUUCCGCAAUGGACGAAAGUCUGACGGAGCAACGCCGCGUGAGUGAUGAAGGUUUUCGGAUCGUAAAGCUCUGUUGUUAGGGAAGAACAAGUGCCGUUCAAAUAGGGCGGCACCUUGACGGUACCUAACCAGAAAGCCACGGCUAACUACGUGCCAGCAGCCGCGGUAAUACGUAGGUGGCAAGCGUUGUCCGGAAUUAUUGGGCGUAAAGGGCUCGCAGGCGGUUUCUUAAGUCUGAUGUGAAAGCCCCCGGCUCAACCGGGGAGGGUCAUUGGAAACUGGGGAACUUGAGUGCAGAAGAGGAGAGUGGAAUUCCACGUGUAGCGGUGAAAUGCGUAGAGAUGUGGAGGAACACCAGUGGCGAAGGCGACUCUCUGGUCUGUAACUGACGCUGAGGAGCGAAAGCGUGGGGAGCGAACAGGAUUAGAUACCCUGGUAGUCCACGCCGUAAACGAUGAGUGCUAAGUGUUAGGGGGUUUCCGCCCCUUAGUGCUGCAGCUAACGCAUUAAGCACUCCCCCCUGGGGAGUACGGUCGCAAGACUGAAACUCAAA